UGGGGAAUCUUGCACAAUGGGGGCAACCCUGAUGCAGCGACGCCGCGUGAGCGAUGAAGCCCUUCGGGGCGUAAAGCUCUUUCGACCGGAACGAUAAUGACGGUACCGGGAGAAGAAGCUGCGGCUAACUACGUGCCAGCAGCCGCGGUAAUACGUAGGCAGCAAGCGUUGUUCGGAGUUACUGGGCGUAAAGAGUGCGUAGGCGGUUUUCUAAGUUCGGUGUGAAAUCUCCCGGCUUAACUGGGAGGGUGCGCCGAAGACUGGGAAGCUGGAGUGUGGGAAAGGCAGGCGGAAUUCCUGGUGUAGCGGUGAAAUGCGUAGAGAUCAGGAGGAACACCUGCGGUGCAGACGGCUUUCUGGACCAUCACUGACGCUGAGGCACGAAAGCGUGGGUAGCAAACA
rnacentral:rRNA from 1 species